UUUUAUGCGUUAAGGAUGGAAGUGGCAUCCUUUUUUGUAAACUAUUUUACUGUUAACCAAGUUUAAUUUUAACUGUUAGGUCUAUAAACAACAAACAGGUUUACUAGUAUUACAAAAAAGAUAUAACGGACAGCCUGACCCUUU
rnacentral:sRNA from 1 species